CCUACGGGAGGCAGCAGUAGGGAAUAUUGCUCAAUGGGCGAAACCCUGAAGCAGCAACGCCGCGUGGAUGAUGAAGGUUUUCGGAUUGUAAACUCCUUUUGUUAGAGAAGAUAAUGACGGUAUCUAACGAAUAAGCACCGGCUAACUCCGUGCCAGCAGCCGCGGUAAUACGGAGGGUGCAAGCGUUAGUCGGAAGGACUGGGCGUAAAGUGCGCGAAGGCUGGAUAGCAAGUCAGAUGUGAAAUCCUAUGGCUUAACCAUAGAACUGCAUUUGAAACUGUUAUUGUAGAGUAUGGGAGAGGUAGGUGGAAUUCUUGGUGUAGGGGUAAAAUGCGUAGAGAUCAAGAGGAAUACUCAUGGCGAAGGCGACCUGCUAGACCAUAACUGACGCUGAUGUGCGAAAGCGUGGGGAGCAAACAGGAUUAGAUACCCGUGUAGUC
rnacentral:rRNA from 1 species